UUUUUUUUUUCUUUUUUUGUAUCCAAUCAUGCAUUACCUGUUAAGAUAGUUUUUGGCUGUGACACACCAACUUUGACCCUGCGAACAAAUGACACACCAACUCAUCAGCGGAUUAAAUCCACUGAAGGACACAAAAUAAAGUGUUGUCCAUGGGCACACUGCCCACACAACUUGCUGGUAUACAUAGCAGAAUCAAGAAUUUUUGCUGGGGAUAUAACUUGCUAGACAUGUAUGUGUUUCUAUGCUAGUAGCAGGGCCAGAUUCAGAAAAAAAUCAUUUUAACAACCCCCAAAAACGGCAAGCUAGCAUCGUCCAUUUCUUUGGUGUGCGAGACCAGCGUUUUUUUGUGAUCCGAGGCAUCAGACAUGUCUCGAAAAAUCGUCAUAGCAUGUUCUUUUUUAUUCCUUUAUUCUGAACAUGAAAUCGCCCCUGCUGUGACUGAUCGCUCAUGUGCUACACAACACAGGUAACCCUCCCAAAAACGCUUUUCAACGUUCAUGUUGCUUACUAAUUUUCAACAUGAUGAACUGGCUAGAAAAUUCAAAACCGACCAGACGAACAACUUUUGUGCAACAAAACUACGAGCAAAAGCUGAUGAUGCAUAUACUUCAGCAGAAAAUUAAUCGACAUUAUCUAAAACACAAAUUCACCUCCUGGUCCAAGAAGAUUGGUUUGCACUCGACACUCCCACGCCAUCUUCGUCUGGAUCCUGGUCCGCGGCAUCAGGGACUAUAUUUGCACCGCCUAUCUCGCAGGAAUCGCCCACCCUUCGUUGCCAAGAUCAUACGACGCGCACCCCCCAUACCAGCUCCUUCGCCCCCUUCAUAAUCCAUCGGUAGAGAAGAAAUCAAAGCCUCCUCGCAUCCUCUGUUCCACUUGUGCCGCCUUCAGUCAGUUGCUCACCGGCAACGAGAUCCCUUAAGCAAACUCUGCUGUCCAACCGCGGCACGAACCUGCUCAGGCAAACGAGAGCCAGCCAGAUCUGUUUGUUAGAGGAACAAGUCAAGUCCCGCAAAAAAAAAAGAGGAACAAGUCAAGGGAAACUCCAAUCGAUGGAAUUCUAGCUCAAAAAAUACAUCCCGUAGCGAGAACUUGAGCGAGAUUUAGGAAUAUUACCCUGCUGCAGAUUCCUCGAAGAAGAACUCCAUGCCGUCCAUGGCGGGAAGCGGCGCUGCCGCCCCCCGCCCCGCGCGGUGCCGUCCACUUUCUGGGGCCCAAACACGAACAUGCGCCGCUUAAUGGUCGACGCUGCUGUCGCCGAGCGGGCCCAGCAACCACACAUUUAUUUUUCUCACCAACCAACCUCGCCAGCGCGCGAGGUGGGCCAAAUUUGAAGCCGCAUGGACCGAACAUCUUGUGCGUGCACGCUAGUACAGAAAUCGUAGGCCCAUGUACAAAGCCGAAACAGAAAUAGGCAGCACCGUUGUAUUUAUACCAGACAGAAACCAGAUAGAAACGGUAAAUAGAAAAGGAGCGGAGGCCACGCAUCGCGACGCCCGAACGAACGACGCAGAUACCGGCCUCUAUGCAGCUCGUCCACCAAAACGCCCCUCUCUGGAGUAGAAGGCUAAGAAAAAACUAGUGGAAAAUAGAACACUCGAAAGAAAAAUAGUGUAGAAGCCAUGCAACAGACUGACAUGUAUAUGCGGGUCUGUUUACAAGGAUGCACAUAAUAGGAUGCAUUUCAACCCCGUUCUAGUUCUCAAUCAUUUCGUGGCAUCGGAUGUGGCUGAACCAUCUACAAAGCUCUACCAUCAAUAAAAAAUUGUUUCACCUGGGAAAAUUUGUUUCUGAGCUCGGGCUCAGAUGCUCUUGAAAUCCAGGCCUUCUACUCUUCCCGAGAUCAGCGCUGUAUGUUGUAUUAUGUGCUGUAUCCCUUCGGUAUGUUCAUUGGAAAUGAAUUUGGGCCAGCGCAUUUAUUACUGGUUGGUAUCGUCAUUUGCCAAAAAGAGGUUAAUCCACUUCAUUCGCCAAGUGAUUGAUCUUCGCUUCGCUUCGCGGGAACAACAAAAACCACCAUACUUGUGGCCUUUUCCACACCCUACAUGAUAUCUGACAAUACUCGCCUAGACCAAAUCACAGCAGUUGCUUGGUGCCUGUCCGGUGUCCAAAGGGACUUGUAUAUAUGCCAGUGAGCUGAAAAUUUGCAAUUGAGCCGUUCCAACAGGAUGGAACUGGAACAGAUGGGGAGCCGGUAUAGCCUCCUCCAAGCAACGAGAGCCAAAUCCGUGAUAGUCAUCGUCACCAUUUGCGUUGAUAAAGAUAGGCUACCAACGAUUUAAUUGAAGAAACAGGAAUACAGGAUACAACACAAGAUCAAUGUAUUUGUAUAACUAGUCUUAGCUCUAAUCCAGGUGAAGUAACAAUCAACCUGCAGGUGUUCUAGUGACGCCAAUAAGGUGCACACGCAUAGAAAAACUGGUAACUUGACAAGAAAUGAAAGCACAUGUGUGGUAUGACAGGACCUACACAGUGAACAGCUAUGUACCAACACAGCAGAGAACAACAACGAACAAUGAAGACGAAGGACAACAUCUGCAACGUCGCAAAUCUACAUAUUGGAUACCUGCGGCAACAUCACAUCCAUAACAUGGCACCGGGUACAAGGCCCCCCAAUAUGUAACUUGACUGAAGAGGGAACUUUCUCCACGAUGUAUCUCUUGACGGCACCGAGUGCUUUAUGUGCUUCCAAGAUAAUACGCCGGCUUGUGGGCAUGCAUUUACCGGAUUCUGGGGCAGAACACCUAACAGACUCACCAACUGCAUCCGCACCAAAUAUGCAGUCCAGUGUGAGGCUUUCAAGUGACGUUGCAUUCUUGAGGAUAUGACAUGUUAGCUCAACUAUGCUCUUUGCGGAGCAAAAGCCAUCGAUUUGCACCUUCUUGAGCCUCUCAUGCCGCCUGUGUUCAGGAAUCUGCCUCAGAUGUGAGGAGGGAUCCUCAAAAACCGAAUCAUGCCGCAUGUCACUCUGAUCUACCUGCAUAGCAUCGAAUAAAUGCCAGUCAAAUUAAAUGUCUCCACGGCAGAUACUAGACACCUUUGCAGCGUGAACAGUUAACUCACACUUAAGAUGAAACUCUCCAAGACAGGACAAGCAUCCAGAAAUGAAGCCAAGGAUAAAUAAUCAUAGGCAGGGGUAACAGCCCCCUCACCAUCCUCACCAAAGUAGAUAUUCAAGUGCUUUAUGUGGAUGAAUUUGUCAGCUACCAUUGGGGUACUAACCCUCUGCACAAAGAUAUCUCGAAUUAAUCAUAUUCCUUCCUACGAGUCAUAAACACUGGAAUCUAAUGAUGUGAAGCUUCAGAGCAUACCUCACAAAACGAGUAUACAGUAAGAGUCUCAAGAUGUGGUGCGAUGAAAGGUAGCUUAGUGAUAGCAUAACUCACAGCAUUGGGCGCAAAUGAAUACCCCACCCUUAAGUCUUUUACCUUUGAUGAUUCUCCAAGCACGAGUUGUACUGGUUCACCAAAGAAGUCAAAAAUGGAGAGGUGCGGAGCUGUGCUCUUUAUCACUCUCAGCUUGUCGCACUGAGACACAGUCAAGCAACUAAGCCGCUCCAGCCAGAAUGGUAUCUCCAGGCAGAUUAGCUUCAUGCAACAGCUGACUUCUAACUCCUCCAAAGCAAAACAAUUGGAAAUAAGAUGCCCCAACUCAUCCCCCGUGAUACAAACUCCAUACAGAUGCAGCUUUGCCAGGCUUCUCAAGCAAUCAAAUCCAACCGGGGGGCGGAAGGCACAAUUGGUGAGGUAAAGAUACCAGAUUGAGUUUCCACGCCCAUCAAGUAGAGCUGAACACGGGAAUUCAUACAUUUUCCUAUGUUUCGUAGGCAGCAAAAGUGUGACUUCUUCAAUCCCUGGUGUGACAGCUUUCUGGAGCCAACUAUUUAGAUGACAAGUGUCGACAUUGUAAUGAUCACGGAUUACAAACUUGAGUAUCUUCACACCGGUGUCUGAGUGAUUUUUCAGAAUAUGAUCAACUCUGCUAGUGAAACCCCUUGCUAUAUCGAUAUUUUGGCCUUCCUUCUGUUUCAAGCCUAGUGUUUCCUCACUGAAUAUAAGCUUGGGGUGGCAUCUCCAGGAACAUAGAAAUGUGCGAGAUACACAGGCAGAACGGGCAGAAUCACGCAAUGGCAUUAGGGAAUGUAUAAGGCACCAGAUAUCCUGCACAAGCAUGGAAAAAAUAGUUGAUCACUGGGAUUGUGCAUUUUUUAACAAAUAAUAGUGGGAUCAUACAGAGAAAUUUUAAAUCCCAAGUGAUCUGCUCGCACUUGUACAAAAUGUGCUGCACAUGGAGGAAGGUAAGUGCAUUGUAAGUGCAUUGUAAUGUAAUUGUGGUAGAUAAGUUCAGCUCGUGCCAAGGUUCCUUUUCUAUGUAAGAGUAAUGUAGGUGGCUUUCACACUUCGUAGCAAUUUGUAUGAUCAACUAGUAUAUCACUAAGAAAUCAAUAUUGUUGGAUUUUUCCCCAUAACCUAUUCUUUUUUUUCGACCAAUUCCAUAACCUAUUCUUUGAACAAAACCUAGAGUAGCCAACUACUAUAGAAGGAUUAACCACAUCUUUCAGAAAGAUCUGUAAAAGUACAUUUUAUCCCGUACCUCAGGUAGAUUGGGCCAUGACCAUGUCGACGUAUCACCACCCUGUGAAUGAUCAUCUUGUUGGCAGAGCGAGUCCUGCUUAUCUGGGCUGAGCUCCGGCCACAUCCCUGUCGGGCUUGAAGUCGAUCUGCUGAUGGGCGAAACAGUAACUGUACGAUCCGCCUCCGGCGAUUCAGAAGGCGACAAGGGCGGCGCGGGGGGCGUGCUCGUCGGCGAAGCGAGACGGGAGGGCUCCGCUCCGACAGAGCCCAGGCCCCUCUCCACCUCACCGGAGAAGGAGGCUUUUGCCCCCGGCGGCCAGGGAUCACGGUUUUCCCCGCCGGCUUUCACCUUGGGUGAUGGAGGCGCUCCCAGAGACGGCCGGGGCUGGAGGUCUGGGUGCUCCGGUGUGCUCGUCGCCGUCCGAGGAGGGGCGGUCUGCGGGAGUGCUGGAGGAGAUGCGGCAGCAGGAAGCUCUGCGUCUGCCGCUGGCAUCCUCGCCGCCGGUGGCGCCCUAAGACUCGGGAGUUUGUCGUGGUGAUGGGCCAUAUCCAGAUGUGGACAUGUUUUUUAGGUGAGAAUGUGGACGUGAUGUGGUCGAUCCGGUGCUGGACCGUCCUAAUCCUGGGCCUGGGCUUCGUAACUUUUUAAGCCCAGACUAAGUGGUCAAGUGUUUUGUCUCAAUCUGUCUCGAAAAAAAAGUGUUUUGUGUCAAAGAAAACAAAAAUCUCAUUCUUGUUUGGAUUUGCAGGCUAGCACCAGUGAGUGAUUUUAUUUUAUUUUUGCAAGAGAAAUUUUCAAUCUAUUCAUCAAUCAUUUCAGUACAUAGCACAAUAGAGGUAAAACAAAUUACAACUAGGUCCAUGGAACAGCGAGUGCUAUCUCGUCGAGUCAAUUCGAAAUGCAACUGCCUGCAUGCCUUUCGCCUUUUUUCCUAAACUGUGCCGUCAUGAUGUUUAUUGGACGGUUACCGUGGAUAUAAUAUCUUAUUAUUCGAGAGAUGCAAAAUCAUGAGGUUAUUCAACAGUUACCGUGCCGCAGGUGUAUAUUCUGUCACGUAAUCACCUACAAUUUGACACACGACCUGAAGCUGUCGAACCUUUUGAGGCACAAAUGGCCUCAUGCAGAUGAAUUACUCACCAAUGACCACAGGUUUUAAAUUCUGGCAAAGAAACAUUCAGCCACUCAGUUUUGAACAGAAGCGGAACUUUCAUGCUUCAACUGGGAGGAGGGGUAAUGUAUCACACACAAAGUAUUCAUACAUAUGCAAUAAUGCAAGCGACAAUGCAUGCUGUAAAUGAAACAAAGGAGUACAACAGAACUUAAACAUCAAAGUGGAGUGAAACUAUUUGGAAGAAAAAAAUCCCUACUUAUUUCCUCGUCGAUUAAAAAAUCCGGUCGGUAUGUCUCGGUUGAUCGAAUGAUUAUGGUAUAGACAUAGAUAAUUAUGCAUCUGUUCUGUAGUAAAAGUUCAAUCUAGAAACAUUAUACUAGUCUGAUACACACAAAGGUUCAACCGUUUCAGUGACAUAUGCCACAGCACAGCUAAAAUGUGUCUGGAAAUGACAGAAUGUUUCAGCCUAUAAUUUGGUAUAGAACUAGCAGAGUAACAGUGAAAAAGGGAUGCUACUCGAUCGAAUAUGUCCAAUAGGCGGAUAGUCAACAAUGGCCAACCAACCUAAGCAUCUAGAGGCUUCACUUCAGGGUACUUUUGCUGUAGAAGAGACAUUCCAUUCCACACAGCUGAAAAGCCCAGCACAAACAGGGUGUGUAUAAUCUGCAUAUGCGUCAGGUCCACCACUACUACAUACGCUGAUACGCCUGAAGGGCAUCCCAUCAUCCUGCAAGUAGAGUGAAAAUGAUAUCAGUGAAACAUUUCAAUGGAUCAGCUAUAAUAAAUAAUAAAAAUGGAAAAAUGCAACAGACAGAGGCACGUUUUUAAGAAUUGUCUCUGAUGCUUCAUAGUCUGGUAAAAGAACAU
rnacentral:lncRNA from 1 species